rnacentral:rRNA from 1 species
AGCGAACGUUAGCGGCGGGCCUAACACAUGCAAGUCGAACGCGAAAGGUCUUCGGACUGAGUAGAGUGGCGCACGGGUGAGUAACACGUAGGUAAUCUACCCUUUGGCGGGGGAUAACGUUCCGAAAGGAGCGCUAAUACCGCAUAAGACCACGGAGUCUCCGGACGCUGUGGGAAAAGGUGGCCUCUUCUUGAAAGCUACCACCGAAGGAUGAGCCUGCGUCCCAUCAGCUAGUUGGUAAGGUAAUGGCUUACCAAGGCGAAGACGGGUAGCUGGUUUGAGAGAAUGAUCAGCCACACUGGCACUGGAACACGGGCCAGACUCCUACGGGAGGCAGCAGUGGGGAAUAUUGGACAAUGGGCGCAAGCCUGAUCCAGCCAUGCCGCGUGUGUGAAGAAGGCCUCGGUUGUAAG